AUUGAACGCUGGCGGCAGGCUUAACACAUGCAAGUCGAGCGGAGCGAGGGUGCUUGCACCUUAGCUUAGCGGCGGACGGGUGAGUAAUGCUUAGGAAUCUGCCUAUUAGUGGGGGACAACAUUCCGAAAGGGAUGCUAAUACCGCAUACGCCCUACGGGGGAAAGCAGGGGAUCACUUGUGACCUUGCGCUAAUAGAUGAGCCUAAGUCGGAUUAGCUAGUUGGUGGGGUAAAGGCCUACCAAGGCGACGAUCUGUAGCGGGUCUGAGAGGAUGAUCCGCCACACUGGGACUGAGACACGGCCCAGACUCCUACGGGAGGCAGCAGUGGGGAAUAUUGGACAAUGGGGGCCUUUUGGUUG
rnacentral:rRNA from 1 species